rnacentral:rRNA from 1 species
CCUACGGGUGGCAGCAGUGGGGAAUAUUGCACAAUGGGGGAAACCCUGAUGCAGCGACGCCGCGUGAGUGAAGAAGUAUUUCGGUAUGUAAAGCUCUAUCAGCAGGGAAGAAAAUGACGGUACCUGAUUAAGAAGCCCCGGCUAACUACGUGCCAGCAGCCGCGGUAAUACGGAGGGGGCAAGCGUUAUCCGGAUUUACUGGGUGUAAAGGGAGCGUAGACGGCAGCACAAGUCUGGAGUGAAAUGGUGGGGCUUAACCCCGGAACUGCCUUUGAAACUGUGCAGCUAGAGUGUAGGAGAGGUAGGUGGAAUUCCUGGUGUAGCGGUGAAAUGCGUAGAUAUUAAGAGGAACAC